GGGUCGGCGGCGGGCGGUCAUGUGCAUUCCCAUUUAACUGGGCUCUGCUUAAUCCGGGCCUAGGCUCACAGUAGUGGGGAAUGAGGAGAGGCUCCCAUCAGAGACCAAGGCCUAGAAGACAGCCUCCCUGUAAAGGCUGUCAGAGGAGUCUGCAUGGCCAGCCACUGUUCCCUAGGGAGCCAGCACCCCCUCACCUGCUCCUGUCCCUUUGGGGCUCUUGUGACCUCCCUGUCUUCUUGUGAGAUCUUAUGUUCCUCCAACCCCGACAGCUACAGAACAGCUCCCAGAGUAAAAAAACUACCCCUCGUGCGUGCUGUCAGUUGUAGCUCUGCUAGCCUUCCACAGUGACUGCUGGCCCCCACUCAGGCUGCCCUCCAAUGCGACUGCUUACUGACUCCACCCAAACCACUCCCGGCUGGCUGCCCUGCCAUCCCGGUCAUUUAUCAUUAUCUGGACUCGACCCCCCCCCUCCCCCUUGCUAGUUGUCUGUCUCCACCCCUCCCCCAAAAGCUCUGCACAGACUGAUUUCUAGGGCAGGAGCUGCAGUAGACCGGAGCUCAAUGAGUAUUUGUUGAAUGGAUGAAUGGGUGGAUGACACUGGAUGGAGCACUCGGGCAGGCGGGGCUCAAGAGGGACGGGCCCUCGGAUCAAACCCCCUUGACCCUUCACAUCCCAGGACUCUCUGGCAUUUGUUGCUGGCUUGGGAGAGGAGGGGGGAGCCUGCUGAGCCCUAGUAGAGAAUGUUCUAGGCCAAGGCUGGCCCUGCUUGCUCCCUGACAAAUGGCUAGCUGCAAGAUAACGAGUUGGGAUUCCCUUCUCCUGUUUCAUUUGGGCAUGAGCCUUGAAGGUAGAGCAGGUUACCCCAAAAUGGGUUUAUUCUCCCUUUCUCCAGGCUAAGUGUCAACAAGUGGAGAAAGGUCUCCAGAGGCAGGGGAGGAGAAAGCAUGGUUUUCGGGCUGCCCGCUGGCGUGGAAGGAGUAGUGCUCCGUACAGUAAACCCACGGGGUCCUGUGGGGCCGUGGCUAGUCCCGCCUUGGCCAGCAGAGCACCCAAAGAUAGAGCUUUGUGUCAUGUGCAGGAAUGAGUCCAGCUUACUCCACUUUGCCCCUGCCCUGGCUUCAGGGUGUUUGGAAUGGACUGUGGGCCCUCAUCUCUUUCCAGCAUGCAGUGACCAGUUCUAGCUCAAAGUAACAGUAUUGUCACCACCAACUCAGAAGCCCCACCCAGCCAGUAUGGAGAGGUCCUCCCUCCAGUCCUCAGGGUUCCCGAGCUCAGGGGGUAUAGGACAACAGGGGGCCGGCAGUAGGGGACAACAGGUGGGUGGCAGUAGGGGGUGGCACAGGGAAGGAAGAGGGAGUAGGACAAUGGAGGGGAAUGCAAAGACAAAGUUAGGGAUACAUACCCUUAUUAGAAAGGUGGUUUUCUACAGAUUGGUGGGUGUUCAAUUCGCCGGACCUCCCUGUGCACUUGUUAGGGCGCUUGGAUCUUUUAUUGAAGGAAGAAACCCUGAGUUCCGGAAAGAUCUCAUGCAGGCCUGGCCAGGAACAUUUAGGCCAGAAUGUAUCUGCUAGGCACAAUUCUACAAAGGAGAGAAAGGCUAACCCUUAUUCAGACUUGGAUGCCUGGGUCUAUCAACCCUUGAGUGGAAAGACCAGCCACAUACCCUGUGGCAUAUCCAAGAGCACCCAAGAUGGCACUCGGGAGCCUCUGUGCCUUGACAUGCUCAGAACACAGGCUUCCACAGCUUUGGACCACCCCAGUUUUGCCUGUCAGGUGUGGACUUGUGUCUGCAGCCACCAUACUGCUGUCUCCUCAGAGCAACUGGGGCAUGGCCCAUGGCUUUGGCACAGACAGCUCCCUUCAUUCACAUUCCUGUCCCCUGCCAUGUAACAGGGAUCUAAUUAGGUUUCCUGCUUCCAGGCCUUGGGUCCCAUCUUCCAUGCACCUCCUGGGGGCCUGGGCCUAGAGUUCUCAGGCCAGCUCCCUCUUCUCUUCACAGCUGCAACCACCUGCCCCCUGCCUUCCAAGCCCCCCCUCUCCCUGCCCUUCAGCCAGGACUGCUGCCAGUUGUAGCUUGUUCUUCCCCAUCCCCUACUAAACAAGUAUGAAAUUGUUACCAAUCUUAAAACGUUUCUGUGCUGAGAACAGAGAAGAGGGCCAAAAAAGGAUGACAUGAGGAUCUGAGGAUCUAUGAGACUGAUAAAUCUCAAAAGGGAUUGUGAACAUAUGUCCUUGAGCAGAGCAGAGAUGCCGAUGGUUGGGGAGAUGGCCCUGGCUGAGUUCUUCAUUGGUCUGGCAGCUCCCACUUCUCUGGAUUUUCUUGACCUCAGGACACCUGAGAUCUAGUUUGUCCUUAAUAUUGUAUGUGGGCUCACAAGCUGCAGGAAGUUGUGGGGCUGGGUGGGGUCCAGGACAGAAGGCGGAGAAGCCAGCUCUUCAAGAUUACAGAAACCUGAGGCAAAGAAUUUAGUUGCUGCGUGUAUGUAAGCCACUGUGAGGCUCGGGACCUCCACAGGUUAGAGAUGACUUAGUGAAGGGCUUACAGAAGCCUUGGCUACAGAAGAGGGGAUUUCUAAAUUGGAAGGACUAACUCAAAACUAUUUUCAAGGAGAGACAUUCACCCUGGAGGCUGACCCUGUCUGUGACUCUGUCCCAAGCCAGUAAUGGCAGUUUUGUAAAGAAUUGGCAAGUGGGUUUUCCAAUGUGCAACAUCAUUACUGUUCUAGUUUCUGUGAAUCUGUAUGCUUUGGGAGCCCAAUUAAGUGAAAAUUGGGCAUGUGGUGGGACAGAAGGGUGGCUAAAAAUUGUCACCAAAGUUAAAUUCACCUGGCGGUGCUUGGGACCCUGGCAGUGUAGAAAGACUCCCUGUUAGCAUGGUUGGGGGGCAGCAGAGAAGGCAAGAACCUGCUUUGAGAAGUGGGGUGGACUUGCUGAGCUGUCCCUAGCUGAAGAACCUGGAAGCCUGACAGAGGGAGACUGGUUGGCAGGUUCCUGGUGGUCAUAGUGUGGCUUUGGACUCAGCUUGGAUGGUCAGACUUCUUGGUCUCUACCGAGGACUUGCACUCUCCUUACCUAAUCUCCUCGUGAAGAGAGACUGUACAAGAGAGCGGGGUGACAGGCUGUUUGGGGCAUCAUGCUGGCGCUGGCACUAGAGGAAACCAGCAACGAGUCCGUUUCCACGUCAAGAUGGCCACCUGAGAGGAAAUCCAGGAAUUGAACCCAGAUGGAGAUGUGUCAUUCUGGAGACAGUGAAAGUGGCCAGGGAGAAAAGUCAAGAGCUCUCAAAUGUGCUAGGUCCAUCCUGCAGUAGGGCGCGCCUGGCCUUGCGUCUGAAGGAACGUGGACUCUUCCUUCCCCAGCAGAAGUGUGUUGAGAACCAGGCCUUGGCUGAGGCCCCGGGGAAGGGAAAGGAGGAGUGGACAGACAAGCUGCUUCCGAGUACAGCUCUGGGUCAGUGUGAAACCUGCAGAUCCGCGCAGCCGCUUGGGCGUGGCUACCUGGGCACAGCCAACUGCCCAGUCAGGGCGAGGGUGAGGAAGGAAGGCUUGGUUUCCCUAACUGUCAUGGUUUGGAUCUUAAAUGUCCCUCAAUGUCACAUGUGUUGGAAGUUCUGUCACAAUGACACAAGUUUUUAGAGGUGAGGCAACUGGUUCCGAGAACCCCAUCCUCCUCCCCUAUGGAUUAAUCCACUGAUGGACUCAUAGUUUGGUGGGUUUCGGGAAAGCAGUUGCCCUAUAAAAGCAAGCCCUCUUUGCUUCUUAGCUUCCACAAAAGUUGGUGGCACCCUGCACUCCCUUGCCAAUGAUGAUUUGAACCAGCACGAGUUGGUGGGGGACAGGGCCCAUGGGUAGGGGACAGGGCCCACGGGCUGAAACCUUUGAAACUUGAGCCAAAAUAAAUCUUUGCUCCUUUCUCAGUUCCUCCCUCCCAAGUUACUCAUGGUGUUUGCAAAGCUGGAACUGUCCUUGUUCCCACAUGCUACAGAAGGGGCUUGGCCAUUGGCCAUGAAGUAUCUGGUAUCGAGUAUCACCCCAGUGUGGAGGCCAGGCAAAGGAGAUUCAACCUGCUCGAGAGGCAGUGGGCAUGCAGCUCCAGACAAAAGGAAGGGCCCACCCCUAACGAGCACUAGAAGAAACUCCUUUUCCUACAUAGGGCUUACCUUUGAUCCAAAUCAGGCUUAGGGCCACAUUUUUUUUAAGCUGUAGAUCAAAGAAAGACAUGGCACUACCUCUGCCCAGCCACUGUGCUGGUUAAAUGUUGGGACCCUGGCUGCCCUAGCAGCUGCCCUGGGUGUUGGGAGACACAGAAGCAGCCCGGCCACUAGAGUUCCUGGUUUUUAACUUGCCAGAGAUAUUUGUUCUGAUCAACAGGAACAAACUGCUGGAGCCAACAACAUGUGACCAGGCCCCUGCCACGCCUUGUCCUGAAAAGUUUCUGUCCUGCAAAAUGGUAUAAGAUCAGGCAGACAGGGCUCUGCCUUCAAGGGACCGGUAAGGUGGGCGUGGCUGCCCUCGGUGUCCCCCCAACCCUAAGGUCCUAGAAUGACCCUUGGAAGUGUGAUCAAGGGAUUUCCCUCAUUAUGUAUGGGUGGGGAGUCUAUGAAGUACACAGGAAGCCAGGCAGCACAUGAGAACCUUCUUCAAGCAUGGAGGGUCUUGAGCAAGUCCCAACUCACAGAAAGGUCAAGCCUGGGGAGGUUUUAUGGGGCUUUGCCCCAACAGGGGAUUUCAGUUCCCAGUGAAUAGCCGGGGUGUCCUAGGAGGGAGGCAGAGGUCUUCUUUGGGCCUUAAGUGGUGAGCCAGGCCUAGCAGCCUGUUCUGCUAUGUGAGGAGAGUCGGCUGAGGCCUGGUGCUGCCCCUCAGGCCCUCGCAUAUCUUUCUGCCAUUCUUAGCAUGUCACCUCAUGCUCACAGCGUCCCAAUGUGUGUCUAGGCAGGGACAUGGGCUUCAUUGAAAAGAAGGGCUCUUGUAGACCUAGAACCUUCUGCUUCCAUCUCAUUGGCCCGAGUGGACGCCAGGCAAGGUGCACAUGCAGCCAUUGCAGGUGGCCAGAGAGGAAGGAGGGCCUGAGACACAACCAGAACUCAUCUCAUAUGGUCAGUCGAGUCCCUGCCCAGCAGUUCCCAGCUAUGCAGGCCCUCCCUUCAUGUUGAGGGCUGGGUCUGGACUCUUAUCUGCCUUUCUGAGGUAUAGCUAGCGUAAUGCAUAGGUGUUCAGGCAACACCUGGGGGUUUGGCAGUCAGCAGGGAGGCUCUCGUCUGCAACCACGGAGUAGCCAUGUUUAUUUAAAGCUUAUUAAGCAGGGUGGCACAAGUGUUGGGAAGGGCACUGAGGGGGAGCUGGUGAUGCGGAGGAGGAGGAAAGCCAGGUAGAUGACUCCUGGGGACCAAGCAGUCUGAAUCCAGACCUCAAGGACCCACUAGAUCAAGCCAGAGAAGAGUCAGGGUGCCCGUAGCUGCACACCCAAGUGUUGCCGCAGGGCUGAGCUGAGGGCAAACUGGAAGCGGGGCACACAGCGGCCUCUGAGCCAGCUGCUGCAAGGCUGGGACACCGAAUGGGUAGAAAGCAAAGCACCAGGAAGAGACUACAGUUGUGACAAAGGCCGCUUUCCAGAAGGACAGAGCCAGCACACGUAUGAGACCAGUGGUGGUUCACACGGUUGAGAACUGUGGAGUUCAGCCACUGCCCAGUGUAUGAGGGAAGGACUGAGAACCCAGAAACUUCUCAGUCCAAGAAGCUAGAUGGCUCAGUUGUCUCUCCGACACCAAGGCCCGAGGCUCCUUGGAUCCAGAAGAAGCUAGAGUCUGAAUCCAUGGGCAGGUAAUUGACAGCAGCCAUGACGGGUGCUGGCACAGAGCUACGUGCCCAGGCUGGCUUCCAAUGUUUUUUCCAUCCAGACUGCAGUCCCGUGGACAGUGCCACUCCACACAUUCAGGAUGGGUCUUUCUGCUCAAUGCUGUCCGACCCACUUGUCGAUUCUCUCUGAAAUUGCCUCCAUGGGCACACUCAAGGCACGUGUGCUAUACAGAUCCCAGGCGUCUCUUGUUCCAGUCAGGUUGACAAAAGCAAGACCAGCCAGCAUGGGAAAACUAGGCCUGAGCUCAGAAAAGGGUGCAGAUGGGAAAGCCUUCAAAGAGACAUAAAAGAUAGACUCUGAACGGACUGGAGAGGCAGUGUAGCCUCAGGAGUGGGCAGACAGGAAGUUGGCUGUCUGCCAUGAAGACCCAGCCGCCUCCCUAGGAUGCCAUAUGUGCAGAGACCUUGGCCAGAGACAAGAGUGUCUUUGACAACAAGGACAACAAGUGACAGACAAGGAAAAGACAAAACUUUGACAACAAGGACAACAAGUGACAGACAAGGGAAAGACAAGACUUCGUUUUCCUUUGGGCCACCUUCGGACCCCUGGGAGGGAGCUCCCUCCCAGCCUUGCUCUCUCUACUGUCCCCGUUGAUGCCCUUGUGCCCUGUCCUCCCCCUGCUUGCCCCGGUGAGGUCCUGUGGGCAGUUUCCAGAUCUGCGGUUUUCAGGGUUGCUAGGGGGAGGCAAGUACAAUUUCCCAACUAACUCACAGGUCAAGGCAGUCUCCCUUUGUGGCAGGUUUGUCGAGCACUUCCAUAGUGGCCCAUUCCUGGCAGAAGCUGACAGGCCCUACAUGAGAUAGGGAAGCUGGGAAAGUCCCUCAGCUUCUGGCCUGGCCCAGGGUUCUUUCUGAUGCUACUGGAGCCAAAACAAGAGGCCUCCCAGGCACCAAGAGGGAAAGGCUACCUCUGAGCAGGUGCCAGGUGGCUUCUGUGCAUGGCCUGUCCCUGGUGAGCGCUUGCCCUGCCAGGUUCCCCUUAAGAAAACCCCUUCUUGUAAACUAAUCAAAGUUCUUUCAUUCCAGUGAAUGUGCUGUCCAGUGUGGGUGUGGAAGGAGGCCUCCCCCAUGGGAUCCAUGGGGCCCAAGAGAAGGCAGGCCCUGUAGCUUGCUCAACAGGCUGCAGCCUAGAGUGGGCAAUGCUUCCUGGAACUGGGAACAGACAGAAGCCCAGAGCAAUGUCCCAUAGUGUAGUGGACAGAAACGGAAGGCCUGGUGGGGCCAGGGGGGUGUGCAGGCAGGGGGGGCAGGCUGGCCAGGCAGGGACCAGUUUAGUUUCCUCGACUGUAAAAUCAGGGUAGCCAGUCAUUCGUUCACAGGUUCAUUCUCGGACCUUGUAUCUUGUGAGACAAAAGGGCGCGCCUACAGCCUUGGGAACCCACAAGCAUGGAGAGCAGAGCACAUGUUCCUGUGCCAGAUGUCCAGCCGAGAGGGCAAAGGACAAAAUUAAUGCACAGCUAAUUAAUACGACAUCCAAGAGCUUGGGCGCGGCACAGGAAAGGGGGUGGAAGGAUGAUGUGACAGGGAGGAGGGGGAGGAGGAAGCAGCUGCCACCUUGGAGCUUGGGCAGGCCUUCUCCACGCUGAACUGGAAAGGAAGAAGAGGGGCAGUCAUGUGAGUGUGAGAGAAGCAGUCAGGCAGAGGGGACGACGCAAGCCUUGGCCUAGCUGCCUUGGUUAUCCAGGGGUAUGUUAGAGGCAGGGGAAUGAUGGAUUUAGACCUCUAGCCAGCUUCUGGCUCAGCCAGGCCCUGAGAGGGCUCAGUCUCCCAAGCAGAAGGCAGAGAGACUCGGGGGUACACGCUGCUGGUGUGGGGGCGAGGUAGGUAGAGGAUGGGAGGGAGCAGGGACAGGGACUGGUCUGGUAGCCGGUCUCUUCCCUGUGGAAUAGAGGGGUUCUAAGGACUGGAAGGGACACCACAGUGGCUCGCCAGCCACUCACUAUAGUAUGCACAAGGACAUAGUCUGUUAUGGUUCCCAUUGGGAUUUCACAGCUCUAGCGAGCAGCCAGGAGUGGGGUGUGGGGGGGUGUGGGGGGGUGUGGGGGGGCAUCAAGGCAGCUCAGUGGGUAGCCGAGACUAUUGAUUAGAUAGAUUUGGUGAUGUGGCCAAGAAGGUGGAAGAGAAGGCCGGCCCAGUAGCCGAAGGUCCAGAGGAGGAGAAACUAGGAGCCUGAUCCAGAGAGAAAGAGGCUGGCCGAGGAGACUUUUGCUUAGUGGUGUCUGCUUGGUACCGUCAUGGCAGGUGGCCAGAAGAAAUUAACCAUGUGCCUCACUCCUCCCCCCUCUACCUAAACCCCAGAUGUUUGGACUGUCCCGUGGUGGGCACCAAUACCUUGUCUCUAAUGUAUAUUAUCCCACAAGGAAACUGGGAGACGCAAAAUGUUUGUGUCUGCUUGAGCAGACGUGAAAUGAGAUAUUGUACUGGAGCUUCUCAGCAACCAGGAACAACUCCCACAAGGCUCUGUGCUGCUGGGGAAGAAGCAGCAGCAUUUAUUUAGUGCCUACUGUGUACUCUUUUUCCACUGGUGGCUACCAACAGUUUAUGCCCUACCCAUUAUUUCUGGGCCAUUGAAUGGACAGCUCGCCCUGUUCAAGAGGGAUAAGCCGCCAUGGAAUAUCCAGUUUGUUCAGAGACAACCUUGGCAGUAGGCUGGGUACAGAAGUAGAUAGUGUGUAGCUCUGGUGUCCUCUGCUGCUCCAGCUGAGCCAAAGCAGGGAGACAGGCCCAGUAUGGUGUCUAUAGGGAGGAGAAGCAGGAUUGUGGGUAGGGGUACCUAAGGAUGCAGUCAUCUGUAGCCCUAACGUGACCCCCUGGGCUCACUAUCCUGGUGCACUGUGGCACAGAUUCUGGUCUUGAAAGUAGAGAAGGGGUAUCUCCUAGGAAGAGAGGACACUGGGGAGUCUGGGACAAUCCCAGUGGUUGGCUGCUCCAGGCUCUAAGAGCUGGAGUACCCCCUUUGGAGCUAGUCAGCUCCCCAAAUUCCUAGGCCCCUUUCCAUUUGCCUUCUGUGACACUUCCCAUAUGAGCUCUAUCAGGGGUUUCUGAACCCUGGGCAGGCCACACGAGCAGGUGACAGCAGUGGGUGACUGGCAUCCCCACCACUGGCAGCGAACACUUCCCCUCCCACCCCACCCCCCCAUGCCUCCAGGCUCUCAGCUCCACUAUGCAAUGAACGCCCUCUGUGUCGGAGCUGUACCACGGAUUGCCUGGCACGGUCUACUUGGGAAGCAGAGAGGUUUGUUCUGGCUCGUGGACCUGGAAGUUGAAGUAGAAGAUUGGGCAGCCUCGUUGGUUUGGGCCUCUCUGAGGGGUAGCACAGUAUUGGGGGGGGCUCAUGGAGGCUCAUGGGAGGGUGAGCAGGUAAUCUCUAGCCAGAAAGCAGAGUCCUACCAGGCCUGUCUCGCCUCGCUCUCGGAGGAUGCCCCCCCCCCCCAUAUGUAGCUCCUCUCACGGGCCCAACUCUCAACCACCGUCCAAUCUUGCUCUCCUGAGCUCCUAGCUUUUUAACACCUGGACUUUUGGGGACGCCAUCCAUAGUUAGACCAAAGCAGCAUGCAUGUCGUGGGAUCUUCAGUGUGUGUGGGGGAGUGUGUGCGGGUGGUGGCAGUUAAAAAUGGAUAUAAUAUUUUAGAUCCUGAGUCUAAUGCCUGCUACAUAGUAAGUGCUCAAUAAAAAGUGAGCAAGUGCCUGCAGGGUUUAGUGUAGAGGGGACAUAGACAUAGAUGGUCUUUACCCUGUCAUUCCAGCCUGGGCUGCCUGCACAGAGCCAAGCUACUGGUACAACCCUGACCCCCAGCCUUCGUGGUCACCUGUGCUCGCUCUCCUUAGCUUCAUUCUGUGGAUCUGACACGCCUUACUGCCCGGUCCCCCUCUUCUCCACUGAGGCUCCAUGACUCCCUGCACCCGCUCUCCAUCUGUUCCCUUCCCACCUACAGAACAGUCCCGGGGGCAAGACCUCCCUCCUGGUAUGCUCUCAGUCAUGGACACCUGUGUGGUCCGGCCAAGAUCCCAGCUUAGCGGGCUGGCGGUGUCUGCUCUUUGGGGGCCCUGUCUCCCCAGCGCUCAGAUCUCACCACUAGAAUAAAUCUAUCCCCCCCCCAACAUCCUGUUUUCAGUUUCUCCUGAAGGAAAGGAAAAGAAAGCCCAGAAGCAGAAAGGCUGGCUAGGCCAGCAAUCCGUACGUGUGUUCAACUGGUUGGAUAAAGCACUUCCUAUCCCAGUCCCACCCCUGACCCCUGACCCCUGGCCAGAGGGAAAAAGCCUGUGGUUAGUCAGUGUUACCUCCCACAAAGAUGUGACCCCUCUGCUGGUGCUGGAGUUCUUCAUGCUUCUCUGGACAGUGCCCUCCCCUCGGUGGUAGCAACAAGGCAAACUCCCCCACCACCACCCACACAGGCCCCCUGGCUGCCCCAGUCAAGGCUUGCCAGGGUACCCUGCUAAUUCAUGCUGCCUUCUUAGGACCACUGCUGGCUCUGGAAGCAAGGGAAGCCACUCUGAGCCUAGGGCAGUGCCUUGUCAGGUAAAAGGGGACUAGAGCCGAGCCUACAAGGCCAGCCAGUGUGGGCCUACAGGGCCAGUGUGGGCCUACAAGGCCAGUGUGGGCCCUUCUGGCUGGGCUGCCGGCAGGGAGCCUAUGCCUGCCUGGGCUGUGGCGGGUGGCUGGCCCCUCAGCUCCCCCUACCCUGUGGUCUCCAGCUGGAGGCAGACUAGAGCGAUGGCUGUCAUCUUGCACCAGGAGGAAGAAGUUGCACAGUGAGAAUCGUGAAGGGAUCAGGUGUCAGUGACAUCCCAUGCCACAAGGGAAGCCAACACUUCUCUUAUCCUUUUUCUAGGUGUGUGUGUAGGGGUUGGGGAGUAGGGGGUUGCAGGCAGAUUUGAUCCUGUCACGGAGAUGCCAUAGCUCUUCUCUCCCUUCUGUUUACUGUGCUGAUGUUCUAUGGGAGGCCACGGAAGUCAGAACCUCUAGCAGCUCUUUAGAAAGGGCAAGGGUGUCAAUGAUCCAGGCAACAGAGGUAAAGGUGAGAGCAAAGGGUAUUGGGAGUGCUUGUUAGUGCGGGGUGGGGGUGGGGGUGAGGGCAGAGCUUUCCAGGGAGCAGCAGGGAUGAGAGCAGGAAGCAGGCAGAUCAGGGUGGGGUCACCAAGAGGGUCAGGCCAGUGAUGCAGAGUGGCUUCUCUCUUCUCUUAACCCUGCUUUCUCUGAGUCUUGAUUGCGCAGUAGCAGGGACGGCUCAGUGAGUUCCCUGGAACAAGAGAAACGAAAGGAAAGGAGACAAAAUGAGGAGUGGUGUGUGUGUGUGUAGGGGGACUGUCAGAACUUCCCAGAACUCUGACCAACUCCAAGAGUAUUUCUAUGUGAGCCGCUGUCUGGCUGCCAGCCUCACACAAUGCCUCUCCUCCCUCUCACAGACCCAGCAUCUGUGUAGCCCCUAACAAGAGUUUCUGAGACCCAAACAGGAACACUACACUUUGCAGGUUAAGACUUCUGUCUGUAGUUAAAGCGCAAGUUUCUAUUUGUCCUAUGUUAGGUCCUUACAAGUUGAGGUUUCUAUUUGUAAUUUAUAAGUCCCAUUCCUUAGAUCUGAUAUGAAAGUACAAAACAUAAUUUUCUACCUACACUAAACUUGGGGCCCUGUUCACUGGAUAUGAUGACCCUGUUCCUUCCCAUUCCUGGUAUCUUUCUAACGAUGUAUAACAGGCAGCUCCUCCCUACCCUGUGAACACUUUUUCUCUCCUUAUAAAAGGGAUCUCAAGGGGCCAGUGGGGUCCCUUGAGUCAGUGGGCUGAAUCAGGAUGAGGCAGCCUGCUGGCCUGUCCCAGGGUCUGUCCCAAAGUACAGCUCUUUUCUUGGACAGUUGUGGACUUUUUAUUUUCAGGUUUAGUGUCGACCAGUGCUUGCAUCUGUCAGUGAAUAGUGAAUUAGUCUUUUGCUUGCUUUGGACUGGUGCGGAUGUUUACCUCCCACAACUAUGAUCUCGGUUUCCACGGAACACCCACAUACUCCCCUCGCCCCCAGCUGUCUCCCUCAUAGACUGAACAACUAUUUGAUUCUGGGAGCUUUCACUCACAGACAGCCAUCGUUGGACCAGCUGGAUCACAGCCUGCAAACUAUUCUAAUCUCAAUCCCUCUCUCCCUCUCCGUAUAUAGACACCCGACCCCACCCCACUUUCUAGCUCUUUCAGGACUCAGUGCCCCUUGAACUGCAGGAGGAGGUGGGACAAUGGCCUCCUGAGAAGGUGCUCUGAGGAAACGAGGCCGGGAGCAGAGGGGUCCCCCACACUUCUGGGUCAAGGCCCCCUCUGUCUUGUAGACUGCUGCCUUGUGUACCCUGCAGCUGUCUGCUUUCAGAUUCUCAUUGAAUAGUCCCUCCUGUGACUGCCUCUCAGAGGAGGCUCCACACACUGCUGUUCCUGCCCAAAGGAAGCUGCUGUUCUGUCUGCUCCACACCCCCAGCUUUGCCACAAUAGCUGUUCUGAAGAAAGGACUAUCCCCCCUCACAGCCCCUUCAGCCCCUCAGCUGCCACAGCCCCCCUGCCUGGGUGUGCCACAGCCUGUCGAUGAGCAUCCUGACUUUAUCUGCUCCUCCCCCUAGCUGCUUGGGGCCAGGCUCACUCUCUGUGGGCAGCCUGGGGCUCUGAACCUUUGUGGCCUCCGGGUAGAACAUGGAUACCAGCUCCCAAGCUCCGGGCACCAUGGACCAGCCCUGCAGGGGAACAGCUUUAAUGACCUUGUGAGCAGUAAUUACACCCCAGGGUCCAUCUUAAUAACCAGUAUUCCCCCGUCAGUGGGCCCUUAAUUGAAAAUGAGUGGGCGACACAAGUUGCUGUGAAGUUGGCUGGCAAGCCCUUAACGUGAUAUUAAUUGUAGUAAUUAGUAGUCACUUUGUGUUGGAGUCAUCUAUAAAUAGAGGGUCCAUUAGUUUAGCAAAGGAGCAUGCUUUAAAACGCAAACAAAAGUCCAAUUAGUUAGCUAAAUCACUCAUCUUUCUGAGCAAAUUCCCAGGUUGUAGAUAGACCAGCUGCAACUUGAGGGUACUAGUCAGUUUAAGGCUUCUGAAUGAACAUCCACUGCAGUGGCCCAACUACACAACGCUGUCUCUUUAAAUAGGCUUGCCCCAGGAGGUUCUGGUUCUUGGAAGGGUCCAACAGACUCUUACUUUAUUGGCACAGCUGGCGGUCACACUUCUCCCUCCGCUUUCUGAUUGGUUUCACCCAGGAAGCAUGGAAGUGCUUCUUAAAGGAACAGUAGCACAGUGCAGGCCCAGACUCUGGGAGAAGGAAUGAGUGGCGUGGGCGUCUCUCCUUAAAUGCAGCUCUCGACAGUCCAGACAGAAUGACCCACCCAUGCCAAGGUCCUGGGACCCAAACAGACUUGGGGAGCACGGAAUUCCUCAGACUUGGAGGGCACACAUUUAAAGCGGACCGAGCAUUUCUCACAGCCUUGGGAGGGAACACAUUUGAGGCGGACUCAGCACUCCCCACAGCCUCGAGGCAUACCUGUAAAGCGGUGGCCCCACACAGAAGGUGACAGCUGUGUUGAGGACUUGGCUGCCAAGCGAGGCAGUUAGAUCCCCAGCACUUUUUGUUUGGAGAAACACACUGUGUGUGUGUGUGUGUGUGUGUGUGUGCGCGCACGCGCGCGUGCGCGCGCGCGCGUGCGUGCUGCCAAGGUGCUACCACCUGGGCACAGGUCCUGCCAUCUGGUGCUCUGAGCAAUCAAUCCUGCGAGCUGCUCCUGCCUGUCCCCCCUACUCCUGUGCUGACCACUGGGGUUGCUCUUGAUGAAAUUUGCAUUUUAUCAGAGAUAAAGCCACUAGAGGCAGCAGCCAUUUCUGAGCGUAGUAAGAAGAGAAGUAGUGCAUUCCCCCUCACCUGAGAGUGAGGGCAGCUCAGUGUGCGCGGACGCGGACAGCUGUUGCCCUCCCUUACGCUCCUUUCAUAUGUCACUCAGUACUUACAACAGGUUGCCAGGGUUGCUAUUUUGAAUGUCCUAUUUGACAAAAUAAAACAUUGGCAACCCUAUUUUGGUCCCGAAAAUAUCUUUUGGAGAUUUUUGCUAGGGGAUGAAAUCCAAAUGUCUGGGGCUGUUGAGCUAAAUGGCUGAAUCAGGAACUUGAGGCGGAGUUGAGUCAUAGCUAUAAAGUUGUAUUCACAGAGGAUGACUUGUGGGGGGGAGGGGGCGUUGUGAAAUAUGGACAUUUAUUGACAGGUUUCCCAUGACGAGAACUGAACAUAGAUAAAGAACUAUGCGGAGUCACAGGGGCCGUCCCAUCCAACUUGUCGUUUUCGCCAUAAUGAAGGAAACUUGUGGUGGUCUUUGCUACUCUGUGAGUUCUUCCUUUUUCUACCCUUUCAAGCCCCUAACGGUGGACAGGAGAGAAAAAGAGGAUGGAAAAGAACGGGGUUAUCGCUAUAUUCCUUUUGAGGAUUAGUGGGGUUGAGGGUUGAACUCCUUGGGGCAAGUUUGAUCUUCACCAUCCGGAUAGCUAAUUUCUUCUUGUAGGUUCUUCUUUGUGCAUAGCUACUUACAAACCCCACCCGACAGCCGCCAACCAACAAACCUCCACCUCACCCUGCCUCUCUGGACCGUAGUAUUUUAUAGACCCUCUAAAAGAUCUCCAGAAUUCCAAAUGUCACACAACUGCAGAAACAUAUCUGUAGCUGGCAAAAUCACGCCCCUGCUAGAGCAUGAGGCAAAUCCAAGUCAGCUGGUGUGGACAGCCUGAAACUAGUCCGUAUCCCAUGCCUGGGACUAUAGAAAUUGAGGGACCUCCUCAGCCAGGGACACCUCCUAAGCCUUACACAGUGAUUAGACAGCCCAGGCUCUUGCCCCCAUGCGCUGGCAGCCUGUCUUCCAAGGUCCUGCAGAAAGCAGGAAGUGACAUACACUAAGCUAGCAGAACCGGUGUCAUUUCCUGGAAAAACUGACCCAGCUGACCGCCAGUCGCACCACACGCAAGAAUUAGCUCUUAAGCCAGGCAGGAAUGAAUACAGCAUGGUGGGAGAGCACACCCCUGUCAAGCCCAAGUCAGGCCCCAAGUUCAAUCCUCAGUACUGAUUGAAGGGAGGGGAAAAAAUUAAACAAAGACAGAUAUAAGUACCAAAGCUAGAAAACUACGGUCUCGGGGCCAUCUGCUCUUGUUCCUCCUGGAAGAUCCCUCAAAGGUCAAUGUGUUAAAGGCUUGGUCCCAGCUUGUCUCCAGUCUCAGUGUUGUUAAGAGAGAUGAGCCUGGAGGGAGUCCUUUGAGUCAGUGUGGGUAUUCCCUCCAGGACAGUAUGAGACUCAAGCAAGUCUUUUUCACUUCUGGGCUGUUAGGGAACGGUUUAUUACCACAGCAUGUUCCCACCCAUGAUGGAGUGGUCCACCCCAACGGGGGUCUAAAAAUAACACAGCCACCUAGCUGGAGGUUCCAGCCUCUAUAGGUGUCAAAAUAAAAGUCAAUCCGUUCUUAUUCAGUAAAACAAGUCUUGAACUUGUCCCUCUCCUGCCUCUACUUCCUGAGUGCUGGGAUUACAGAACUGUACCAUCACACCCGAUUUAAAACUUUUUAUAAGGCGACUCUACUGGGUAUUUGUUGUCAUGGCAGGAAGCUGGCUGACAGCCUCAGAUCUGGCAAAUGGAGUCUCUGUUGUGAGGGCCCACGAUGGCACUGGCACCCGAAAAAAGAGACAAAGCCAACGACGGUGUGGGAAUUAAAAAACUUGUACUUCAAAGAUUGAAGAACGCAAAGACAACAUGCAGAAAAGGUGACGCUCUCUGCAAAUUGCACCGCUUAGCAGUGGACUCUUGUCUGAAAUCAAGGAUUCCGAGGACUUGGAAAAGACAAGAGGCAAGUGAUCUGAGCGGAGAUUUCUUCAGCAUCUAAAUGGCAGUAAGCGUCUGAUCAGUGGUGAAGCAUCAUUAGCCCCCAGGGGAGCGAAAUCAAAGCCCCAGUGAGAUGCCACCUUCCACUGGGACAGGCAAUAUCGAACCUUCUAGAAGGACUGGUGAAGUAGGAGGAUCUGACCCUCAUGCCUUGGGUGGAAUUUGACAAGACCUCUCCGAGAGAGGUCUGGAAGCUUCAGAAUGGCCACAGGUUGAGCAAUCCCACCCUUGGUGGACACCCAUGAGAACUGCUAGCUUCCAUCUACACAGCUUCCUUUCGAGGCCUGAUGGAACAGCACAGAGUGGUGUUCAAGCCGAGGCCUCACAAGCAGGAAGUAGUCAGCCAGGCAGUGAACAGGACGACUGGGAUGCAGUGGAUGCAGCAGCCUCCCCUGCCUCUGCCACCACCACCACCACGGCAGGAGAGAACUCGCAUCCGAGGUCCACAGAGUGGCUGCUGGAGGACUCAGGAGAGGACGGGUAAGAUGAGGCUCCUGAGAGGACCGGAAGCGUGCAUGGGCCGGCCUGGCAAUGACGUGGCCGUGGGGAGGAGAGGAUCUACACUGUGCUUUGUGGUGUGCAUGUGAGGGACGAGGACUCCGUGGGACACAAACACCAGGCAGCAGCCUAAAGUGGGGCUAACUUGCCUAUGAACUCUUAGCCUCAGGAAUGCUGGGUAAGUGGCUUAACCUCUGUGACUAUGGAGCCAUCUAACUCCCUGUGGCAAGAGGUCCUGAGACCUGCACCGACAGACCGGAAGGCCAAAGGAAGCCGGGUGAGAAGACCCAGGUGUUAACUUAAGGUGGUCACACUAGGCUCCUCCCAGCCACCUAGCAACAACUUAGGUCAUCACUUGCCUCUGCCAGGUGUGGGCGGCUUAUAAAAGGACUGCUCACUAGGUCUUCAUGCGAGUCCCUCAACCAACUGGAUUCUGGGCUGUCCCUCAACCUAGUGGCUACCUGCCAACCUGGGGCCGGCACCCCUAAAUGGACAGACAGCCUUGACUGGCCUCAGUGAGGAUGUGUCUAGUCCCAUAGCAACUUAAUAUAUGGGCUGGAGGGCGAGGUGACACCCAGAGGAGGGGGGCUUCCCCUUCUAAGGGGAAUGGGGGGGACUUAUGUGAGGGGGACUAGAGGGAGAGGAAGAGUUGAUAUUGGGCUGUAAAGUGAAUGAAUAAAUAAAUUUGAUAAAAAUCUG